rnacentral:rRNA from 1 species
AGUCGAGCGGCAGCGCGGGGGCAACCCUGGCGGCGAGCGGCGCACGGGUGAGUAAUGCAUCGGAACGUGUCCUCUUGUGGGGGAUAACCAGUCGAAAGACUGGCUAAUACCGCAUGAGAUCGAGAGAUGAAAGCAGGGGACCCGCAAGGGCCUUGCGCGAGAGGAGCGGCCGAUGCCCGAUUAGCUAGUUGGCGGGGUAAUGGCCCACCAAGGCGACGAUCGGUAGCUGGUCUGAGAGGACGACCAGCCACACUGGGACUGAGACACGGCCCAGACUCCUACGGGAGGCAGCAGUGGGGAAUUUUGGACAAUGGGGGCAACCCUGAUCCAGCCAUGCCGCGUGUGUGAAGAAGGCCUUCGGGUUGUAAAGCACUUUCGGACGGAACGAAAUCGCGCGGGCGAAUAUCCCGCGUGGAUGACGGUACCGUAAGAAGAAGCACCGGCUAACUACGUGCCAGCAGCCGCGGUAAUACGGAGGUGGCAAGCGUUGCUCGGAAUCACUGGGCGUAAAGGGCGCGUAGGCGGGGAGGUAAGUCGGGUGUGAAAUCCCUCGGCCCAACCGAGGAACUGCGCCCGAGACUGCUUCUCUUGAGUCCCGGAGAGGAAGAUGGAAUUCCCGGUGUAGCGGUGAAAUGUGUAGAGAUCGGGAGGAACACCGGUGGCGAAGGCGGUCUUCUGGACGGUGACUGACGCUG